AGAUUAAGUUAUUAAGGGCGCACGGUGGAUGCCUUGGCACUAGAAGCCGACGAAGGACGUUACUAACGACGAUAUGCUUUGGGGAGCUGUAAGUAAGCUUUGAUCCAGAGAUUUCCGAAUGGGGAAACCCAGCACGAGUUAUGUCGUGUUAUCAAUAUGUGAAUACAUAGCAUAUCUGAAGGCAGACGCGGAGAACUGAAACAUCUUAGUACCCGCAGGAAGAGAAAGAAAAAUCGAUUCCCUGAGUAGCGGCGAGCGAAACGGGAAGAGCCCAAACCAACGAGCUUGCUUGUUGGGGUUGUAGGACACUCUAUACGGAGUUACAAAAGAACAGACUAGACGAAUCAUCUGGAAAGAUGAAUCAAAGAAGGUAAUAAUCCUGUAGUCGAAAGUUUGUUCACUCUUGAGUGGAUCCUGAGUACGACGGAACACGAGAAAUUCCGUCGGAAUCUGGGAGGACCAUCUCCCAAGGCUAAAUACUCUCUAGUGACCGAUAGUGAACCAGUACCGUGAGGGAAAGGUGAAAAGUACCCCGGAAGGGGAGUGAAAUAGAACUUGAAACCGUGUGCUUACAAGUAGUCAGAGCCCGUUAAUGGGUGAUGGCGUGCCUUUUGUAGAAUGAACCGGCGAGUUACGAUUUGAUGCAAGGUUAAGCAGUGAAUGUGGAGCCGUAGCGAAAGCGAGUCUGAAUAGGGCGUUGAGUAUUUGGUCGUAGACCCGAAACCAGGUGAUCUACCCAUGACCAGGUUGAAGUUCAGGUAACACUGAAUGGAGGACCGAACCGACUUACGUUGAAAAGUGAGCGGAUGAGUUGUGGGUAGCGGAGAAAUUCCAAUCGAACCUGGAGAUAGCUGGUUCUCUCCGAAAUAGCUUUAGGGCUAGCCUCAAGUGAUGAUUAUUGGAGGUAGAGCACUGUUUGGACGAGGGGCCCUUAUCGGGUUACCGAAUUCAGACAAACUCCGAAUGCCAAUCAAUUUAACUUGGGAGUCAGAACGCGGGUGAUAAGGUCCGUGUUCGAAAGGGAAACAGCCCAGACCACCAGCUAAGGUCCCAAAAUAUAUGUUAAGUGGAAAAGGAUGUGGCGUUGCCCAGACAACUAGGAUGUUGGCUUAGAAGCAGCCAUCAUUUAAAGAGUGCGUAAUAGCUCACUAGUCGAGUGACACUGCGCCGAAAAUGUACCGGGGCUAAACAUAUUACCGAAGCUGUGGAUUGUCCGUAAGGACAAUGGUAGGAGAGCGUUCUAAGGGCGUUGAAGCAUGAUCGCAAGGACAUGUGGAGCGCUUAGAAGUGAGAAUGCCGGUGUGAGUAGCGAAAGACGGGUGAGAAUCCCGUCCACCGAUUGACUAAGGUUUCCAGAGGAAGGCUCGUCCGCUCUGGGUUAGUCGGGUCCUAAGCUGAGGCCGAUAGGCGUAGGCGAUGGAUAACAGGUUGAUAUUCCUGUACCACCAUUAUUCGUUUUAAGCGAUGGGGGGACGCAGUAGGAUAGGCGAAGCGUACGAUUGGAUUGUACGUCCAAGCAGUGAGAUUGAGUGUUAGGCAAAUCCGGCACUCUUAAGAUUGAGCUGUGAUGGGGAGAGGAAAUUGUUUCCUCGAGUCGUUGAUUUCACACUGCCAAGAAAAGCCUCUAGCUAGAAUUGUGGUGCCCGUACCGCAAACCGACACAGGUAGUCAAGAUGAGAAUUCUAAGGUGAGCGAGCGAACUCUCGUUAAGGAACUCGGCAAAAUGACCCCGUAACUUCGGGAGAAGGGGUGCUCUUUAGGGUUAACGCCCAGGAGAGCCGCAGUGAAUAGGCCCAAGCGACUGUUUAUCAAAAACACAGGUCUCUGCUAAACCGUAAGGUGAUGUAUAGGGGCUGACGCCUGCCCGGUGCUGGAAGGUUAAGAGGAGUGGUUAGCUUCUGCGAAGCUACGAAUCGAAGCCCCAGUAAACGGCGGCCGUAACUAUAACGGUCCUAAGGUAGCGAAAUUCCUUGUCGGGUAAGUUCCGACCCGCACGAAAGGCGUAACGAUUUGGGCACUGUCUCAACGAGAGACUCGGUGAAAUCAUAGUACCUGUGAAGAUGCAGGUUACCCGCGACAGGACGGAAAGACCCCGUGGAGCUUUACUGUAGUCUGAUAUUGAAAUUCGGCACAGCUUGUACAGGAUAGGUAGGAGCCUGAGAUACGUGAGCGCUAGCUUACGUGGAGGCGUUGGUGGGAUACUACCCUCGCUGUGUUGGAUUUCUAACCCGCACCAUUUAUCAUGGUGGGAGACAGUGUCAGAUGGGCAGUUUGACUGGGGCGGUCGCCUCCUAAAGAGUAACGGAGGCGCUCAAAGGUUUCCUCAGAAUGGUUGGAAAUCAUUCAUAGAGUGUAAAGGCAUAAGGAAGCUUGACUGCGAGACUUACAAGUCGAGCAGGGUCGAAAGACGGACUUAGUGAUCCGGUGGUUCCGCAUGGAAGGGCCAUCGCUCAACGGAUAAAAGCUACCCCGGGGAUAACAGGCUUAUCUCCCCCAAGAGUUCACAUCGACGGGGAGGUUUGGCACCUCGAUGUCGGCUCAUCGCAUCCUGGGGCUGUAGUCGGUCCCAAGGGUUGGGCUGUUCGCCCAUUAAAGCGGUACGCGAGCUGGGUUCAGAACGUCGUGAGACAGUUCGGUCCCUAUCCGUCGUGGGCGUAGGAAAUUUGAGAGGAGCUGUCCUUAGUACGAGAGGACCGGGAUGGACAUACCUCUGGUGUACCAGUUGUCGUGCCAACGGCAUCGCUGGGUAGCUAUGUAUGGACGGGAUAAGUGCUGAAAGCAUCUAAGCAUGAAGCCCCCCUCAAGAUGAGAUUUCCCAACUUCGGUUAUAAGAUCCCUCAAAGAUGAUGAGGUUAAUAGGUUCGAGGUGGAAGCAUAGCGAUAUGUGCAGCUGACGAAUACUAAUCGAUCGAAGACUUAAUCAAAUUUUA
rnacentral:rRNA from 1 species